rnacentral:misc_RNA from 1 species
UCUCCGUAGGUGAACCUGCGGAGGGAUCAUUACCGAGCGAGGGCCCCCGGCCCGACCUCCAACCCUUUGUGAACCCCAUCUCGUUGCUUCGGGGGCGACCCUGCCUUUCGGCGCGGCGCCCCCGGAGGCUCAUCAAACACUGCAUCUCUGCGUCGGAGUCUUAAUGAAUUUAAACAAAACUUUUAACAACGGAUCUCUUGGUUCUGGCAUCGAUGAAGAACGCAGC